rnacentral:misc_RNA from 1 species
ACGAGUUAGGGUCUUCUAGGCCCGACCUCCCAACCCUUUGCUUAUUGAACCAUUGUUGCUUCGGUGGGUCCGUCUAACGACCGCCGGGGGACCGCCGCGAGGCGCCCCUUGGCCCGCACCCACCGAUAGCCCAACUCUAAAUCCUUUAUGAAUCGUGUCCUAUGUCUAAAUCAUGAUUAAAAAUCAAAACA